rnacentral:rRNA from 1 species
GUAGGUGGCAAGCGUUGUCCGGAAUUACUGGGUGUAAAGGGAGCGUAGGCGGGAAAGCAAGUUGAAUGUUUAAACUAUCGGCUCAACCGAUAAUCGCGUUCAAAACUGUUUUUCUUGAGUGAAGUAGAGGUAGGCGGAAUUCCUAGUGUAGCGGUGAAAUGCGUAGAUAUUAGGAGGAACACCAGUGGCGAAGGCGGCCUACUGGGCUUUAACUGACGCUGAGGCUCGAAAGCGUGGGUAGCAAACAGGAUUAGAUACCCUGGUAGUCCACGCCGUAAACGAUGAUUACUAGGUGUGGGGGGAUCAACCCUUCCGUGCCGCAGCAAACGCAAUAAGUAAUCCACCUGGGGAGUACGACCGCAAGGUUG